ACUGAAAAUCGUUCUCUGCUAAUGUCUGAUUUCCACAGGAGGUGUGGACUACUAAUAGUGGCAAGCUGACACAGGGAAGACAAUUGCAAAGCAGGCCCUUCCCAGUAGCCAAGCUGUCUGAACACUGUCCUUUGAGCAUAACCACCUUCAUUGUCAUCCUCACUGGAAGCAUUUGUGACUACUCAGGAGAUACAUUCAAGGAUCUAUGGAGCCUAUUUAUUUCUUCAAAACUUCCUCUUCUAUCUGCCAUCUACAACUCCGUUCAUAUUUAUCAUCAGAAUCUGACUCAUCUGCCCAGCUUUUAGGAACUUCGUAGUAACAUCCUCCUGCAGGCUGCCAUCCCUACUUCUUUGCCUGAAUGCCACCUCCAGAGGGUUGGGCUUACAGGCACAUUGGGGUGGACCGCUCUCCUGAGCACCUUUUGAGUAGGUCAGAGUAUCGUGGGGAAGCACACCAAAGCUACAAGCUGGGGUGAGAAAGCACCCGGGAGCAAACAGCAGCAUCAUGUCCUCUGAGAUCUCAGUCACUGAUGGAGAACGGGGCAGGACUACAGGAGGCAGCAAGACCAUCUCCACAGUGUAUAAUGUCAACAUUAAAUGAAAACAUGAAUGCAGAAUCACUGAACUCUUACAGAGUCACUGACAUUACAGGUUCUGCCAAGCUGACUCCUCCUCCACCAGCCUGUGCUCUCUGAUGUUAAGUGCCAUUCCUUGGAGCUGAAGUCAGACAGGAAGAACAUUUGAGGCAGAGGAAGAAGCAUGAGGAAAAACAAUAAUCAUGGAACAUGGAGUGGUCCCUGGAUAACGGAAGCAGAAAUGUUAGGUCUAAUGGAGUGUGUGAGAGCUGCCAGAGGGAAGACACAGUUUUCUCUGGGUUGUCAUUCCCUCAACUCCUCACUAGCAGCCAUUAAUACCAACAUCGUAGUCUGGUGAGCCCAUGAGUAUCUGACCAAGACUCACCUUUCUCAGUUCAUCGGUGAUUCCCUUGUUCCUUCUCCUUGGGGGUCAUAGGACUGUCUUUUCACUCUAAUCACACACACACACACACACACACACACAGGCACACAUUCCACUAGAGCUGCUUACAGAAUGGCAAAAUUAAAAUGGAUAGCUCCGUGUUCAAAGACCACCAAAAAA